AUGACCUUGUUCCUCUUCAUAGCUCACAUCAUAGUCACACAAUUCCUCUUAUCACACCCUCACCAAUACUUUGAACUUCAAAUUUUAUGUCCCUCAAUUAUCUACCUACCCUUUUUAAUACCUUCAUAGAGACAUAAAUUAAUUAAGGACACUCACCAUAGGACAUGGAUCAUUGUUUUUCAACCGGUUCAACCUCCACACAACCAACUCAUUGUGUUGAACAUGCUUCAAGCAUGAAGAAGAGGCUCAUUUACAAGGCAAAGGAACAGCGGUCUAGGCUCUAUAUAUUAAAGAGGUGCAUUAUUAUUUUACUAU
rnacentral:lncRNA from 1 species